CGCUGGAUGUCAGGGGUUAAAGUUGUGUUUUGUGUUAGUGGAUCAAGCAGCAAAAAGAGAGAAAAAUAAAAUUGAAUCCCUUGUGCAAACGAAAUUACAAAGCACCACUUGUAGAUGUAUAUAAUUAUAUUCCCAGUCUUAUAACAGGCAUUGAGAGAGAAAAUAAAUAAAAUGUAUAAAGGCUCUCAACCAAAAACCUAAUUUGAAGUAAGCAAAUCAUAGUAAGAAAAUCUAAACAUUUAAAAAAUAAUAAUAUUUGUCUAGUUUGACGAUAAGACAACUUACAGCCAAGACCAAAAAAGUACGUGUGCGCAACGUUGAACGUUUGCUGGGCAUAAAUGACGUUCAAAACCUUUAAAAUUGAAGUGAAGACCCACAAAAACAUGUAGCCUCGGAACAUUUACUGUUUACUGGGUCGGUACAAACGGAUGCAGUAAACAAAUCACCAAAAAUAUUUUGAGUCACUGAGACACUAUGUAAUCAAACUGAGUAGGUGAAUAUGAGAGCCUAGAAACAAAGGAGUUAAGUAAAACCUUAAUACAAUGAAAUUAAAAUGACUAAAUGCUUGUAAGGCAAGCACACUAGAUGAUCAAAACAUUAGAUCACAUCAAAUAAGCCCGAAUGGGUUCGCCAACUUCCCAACUAUACAAGACUAGUAUGUUAUAACUAAACAUAAUUGUAUCACAGGUGGGCUACUUACUAUCCACAGCUCACAAGCAACAGUUGCUGAUCUAUGAGCAAGUUCAAGACUUCUUGAUGUGACAUUGAAUGUGAGCCAUAGCCUCAUCCGGAGACUCAAAUGUGUAGUCUUUACCAUCAUGAGAUAGCCAUUAACGGGCCGGGAAUCGCAGUCCAUACUUCACACCUGGAUGGUCCUGUAGUAGUCGUUUGGCCUGCCCAAAAGCUGCGCGCUGCCUGGAAACAGUGGGGGAGUAGUCCUGGUAGAUAGAGAAGCUCUGUCCUUGAAAGCUCAGAGUGGUAUUGAGUGGUAUUCAGACGGGCUCGUCUGAGAAUCUCCAUCUUCUCAUGGAAAAAGUGCACUCGAAGAAUUAUGUCACAGGGCCUCUCACCAUCCCGGGACUUUGGGCGCAGCAACCGGUGGGCACGAUCAAUCAGGGACUUCUCAUCCAAGGCAAGAGCAUCCUUCAGCAGCCCAGAAAUUAAAUCCGUGGCACUUCCACUGACUCUGGGACCGAUACCAGUCUCAGGUUAUUGCGGCAAGAGAAUCCCUCUAAACUCACAACUCUCCUGCACCUUUUCCAAAUCCGCAUCCAGGCGUUUCACAUCAGCCUCCAGAGAGGUAGUUAAGUCGGAGACAUUGGUAGCGGAGGUCUCCAGUGCUGCAAUCGUUGUAGUGUGCAACUCUGUUGUUGUUUUGAGUGAUGUGAUUGCUGGCACCGUCUCCUUUCGCAGGAUGGUUAGACGGCAAUUCUUGUGUUUGCACACACCAUGCUGGCGUUGCAACGCCAGGGUUGUGGGUUCAAUUCCCACGGGGGGCCAGUACAAAAAAAAAAACAAUGAAUGAAUGAAAUGUAUGCAUUCACUACUGUAAGUUGCUCUGGAUAAGAAUGCCUGCUAAAUGACUAAAAUGUAAAUCUGCUUUUAAAGUAUCAGAAACCUCCUGUAUUCGGGCCUCAAUCGUAGCAACUACCUCCGUUUUCAUUUCAACUAUCUCAGUGCGUAGUAGCUUGAUGGCCUCGAAGAAUGUUCAUUUCAGCGCCGCCAGGCCAAUCCGCACCCCCGGGUAAAGUGUGAGUCCCCGGGCCUUCAGACUCAGGAGAGGGCGGUGAUGAGAGUGGGUCUUGUAGGCCGGGUUUUCUCAAAGUCAGGUUUUUGGCCGUAUGUUUCGUCGACAUGCUGACAUUCGAAAGCAAAGUAGUCUUGGUUUUUACGGAAAGGGAUCACCAAACUAAUAUUUGAAAACAAAUACAGUUCUGCUGCAAAAUUCACAUAAACUUUAAGAAUACUGCGGGAGCAAACGGAAAACACGUCAGUCGCACAUGGCGUACCUCCAACCCACCUAUUGUGAUACUUUUUAUAAUAAUUUUUUCCUUUGGACUACUAGGCAGCAAAAUGUGAAAACUGUACAAAGGGUGUGUUGUCCUGAGAAAAGACUUCUCCAAGUCUGGCCUCUGACCACAGAGAGAACGUUCACCUCGUUCAGAACUACUUCAAGGUGUGUCUGCGUCGUCUCGGGGCCCAGGUGUGUGGGCUGUUUGUGGAGGUGGAGGGCGUUCAGUUUGGCCGUUGUCUAGAUGCCCUGCUGCCCCUUAUCGAGAAACAUUUACUCUUUUACAAAUCAAACUUUUAAGAUAUCAAAAUAUUUAAAAAGGAGGAGCAGGAUGAGAAGGCAGCAGACAAACAGCUGUUCAGCUACCUGACCCUGGUCUUCAAACUCUCCAAGGACUGUAGCCUCCUGGAAGCCUCAGGACACGUUCACUAACAUCCUGGUUAAGACACUACAAUAGUACCUAGAACCUGGUCCCAGAUCUGUUUGUGCUGUCUUGCCAUCUGUUUGUGCUGUCUUGUAGUUGCGACCAUAGGAAUUGGCACGACAGCACUAACAGCUCAGGGACCCAGCUUUACUACCUCUGGAUAUCAUAUCUGUGACGUGGGCCCAGUCUGAAAAUCACCUCAGAUAUCUCAGUUGUCUGGAGAGACACAACUGGUCCUACAGUACUGUGUUCAUGUUGAGACCAACCUGUGCUUCCCCCACUGUUGGGUGUGGCUCACCGCCUCUCAGCUGUUUGGUCAGCUGUUUGCUCACUGGAGGGAGGACACCACAGAGGAGGGCAGUGCCAACAACACCACAGAGGACGGCAGUGCCAACAACACCACAGCCUGUUGCUCCUACAUUCCUUUCUACCAGCCUGGACAAGAAUGUGACACACCACUUCACAUAAUCAUAUUUAUCCUGCUACAAAAGAUUCUGGUGUAAUCAAGAUAGGUUUAUCAAUUACUUUUUCUGUCCUCCCUAUCUCCCCUGUCCCUCAGAUGAGAGUGCUAGUCCUGUCCUUUCAUCAUCAGCUCCAGUCUAAAUACCUAGACAUGUCCACAGGAGAAUAGCCUACCAGUAUCGGACUGUUUCUCCACUACAACGCUGGAUUCCUGCCGUAAACCCUGGACCAUUACUCCUGAUCUUCACAGCUAGCUAGCUGCCACCGAGUGACCAAGUACCGAAGCCAUCCCUGAGCCAGGCCAGGCCCACCUCCCGGCCUACUCAGUUGUUCACCCGGACUCCACCCAAACACAGCUAGAAUCCACUACUCCACCAGAUCCUUGCCGCAAGCUCUGGACCUUGGCAAUGGAUCACCGAGUGGCUAUAGUGGCUAAUGCACCUGCCCCGAAGCUAGCACCAGUUAGCCGUGAGCCAGGCGCAUCUCCCGGCUAGCAAACUAAAUUACUACAAUUACAAUACCUCUUUCGCCAAAGGCUUGGAUCCUUUGUCGACACGGUGCCCCGCCGCACCACCACAACUGGUCUGCCAACGAAUACUCCAUCCGAUGUGCCUUCAACCGGCCUCCGCUGGACGUCGGAGCAGACGCUUCUACUAGCCCCGGGCUUCUAACUUUAAAUGCCGUGUCGCCUGCGUGCUAGCGUAGUAGCGACCACUCCGUGGCUUCCCUGUUCCAUCUAUUGCUGUCCCCUGG
rnacentral:lncRNA from 1 species